GACGAACGCUGGCGGCGUGCUUAACACAUGCAAGUCGAACGGAAAGGCCCUGCUUUUGUGGGGUGCUCGAGUGGCGAACGGGUGAGUAACACGUGAGUAACCUGCCCUUUACUUUGGGAUAACUUCAGGAAACUUGUGCUAAUACCGGAUAGGAGCUCCUGCUGCAUGGUGGGGGUUGGAAAGUUUCGGCUGUUGGGGAUGGUCUCGCGGCUUAUCAGCUUGUUUGUGGGGUAGUGGCUUACCAAGGCUUUGAUGGGUAGCCGGCAUGAGAGGGUUACCGGCGACAUUGGGACUGAGAUACGGCCCAGACUCCUACGGGAGGCAGCAGUGGGGAAUAUUGCACAAUGGGCGGAAGCCUGAUGCAGAAACGCGGCGUGCGGGAUGACGGCCUUCGGGUUGUAAACAGAUUUCGACUGUGACGAAGCGUGAGUGACGGUAAUGGGUAAAGAAGCACCGGCUAACUACGUG
rnacentral:rRNA from 1 species